rnacentral:miRNA from 1 species
AGGUCACAGUUUGGCAAGUAAAUCUGUGGUCUUGAUUGUAAACUCGAGCUUUGUUGUAGCUCCCCAAACUCAGUCUUA